ensembl:sense_intronic
GUGAUCUUGGGAGCCACACACCACGAGGGGAAGGAGCCCCUCUGCCAGGGCACUGCUGUGUUCUCCGGACUUGGGACUCGGACACUUGAAUUGCCUCGAGCGUCCUCCUUCCCUGUCUCCCUCCCUCAUCAUCUCCUCCGCGCUUCUCUUGUCCUUUGCACUGUCCCUUCCCUGCGGAGCCUCCCUGUCUCCAGUGCGGUCAGGUGCAUCGCUCAGGCCGUCGGUCCUGCGGAGCAGCCGGUCUAGGGCGUGUGUUGUCCCCGGGUGGUGUCUGAGGCUCCAGCCGCCCAGAAACUCGAGAUUCUAGUUUCCCCAAAGCAGAACUUUGACCUUUCGUAUGUGGGCACCUCUUCCGGACCUCCACAGAUAACCGUCUACGCGGGUCUGCACGCUACUUCCCCGCAGUUCUUUUACUCCCUCCUUGUUUUGACUGCCUGUGAAGUUUGAGUUUUCUUGAGGUGUAGUGCUCUUGCGCAGAGGCCACAUGUUUAGCUCUGAAUUUCUGACUUUAUUUCCUUCCGUACUAGUCAACCAAUAGGACAGUUUAUCCUUCCUCGUGUUUCCAACGUUUUGGGGGAGGUUUUUUUUUCUCUCUUCUCCAUUCACUUUUAUUUUUCCUAAGAUAUUGUUUUUUAACUGUUUUGUUAAAAUGUGUUCCCAAAAUAUAGCAAACGUUAAUGUAGAUUUUGUAUACUGUACAUGACUGAAAAUUUCGAGUAUUACGUAACAUAUGUUCAACUGUACUUCGGGCAUACAGUUACGGACUUGGAAAUUUUAAUGUGAAUAAUCGGAAUGCUGGUCUGAAGAACUGAGAGUCAAACUAUAAUAAUAUGUUGUUUUUCGUUUAAGAAUAUGCAGAAAGUGUUUUAACUGUGUAGAUCACAGAGGAGCUGGGCAAACGGAAGCAUAAUCUGUAGUGUGGUGUCCUGAAGGUAGCUUAUGGAGUGGCCAGCAAAGUAACUAAAAUGUGGUGUAAUGAAUAGGCAGGCAGUGUAUAGAUCUUAGGUAAAAAGGUAAAGCCAUGCCAAAUCAGAUACCUUAUUGUAUGAAUUGGAUUGCCCGGUAGUCACUGGGGACUUACUCUGAAAAAGAUGGAGAGCAAACAUAAUUAAAAUUAGUUUGUGAUUAACAUUGAUUGUGCUUACAGUGUUUAGAGUUAAGAUAGAAUGAGAUGAAUCUUUUUGAAAAUGGUAAGUUUGUGGGUGAUUGGCUUGACAUUAAGUCCUGGGGUACAGAGAAAGUAGAGUCAGCAGUUAGGUAGUAUUUCAAUCUCAGGUUGCAUGUGGAAAUACCUUCUCCUCAUUCUCUUUGGAGCAGGAAUGCAUCCAGAACAUGCUACACUAAAAGAGGAGUUCUCAGGGCUGCCAACCUUAUAGUAGAGGUUGGGAAGUAGUAUAUUUCUCCUACAGAAAGAGAAAAGAAAAUUAGCAGGAGUUGACUGACUGUAGGAAAGAAGAGCCAAACAUGACUUCAGCUUCUGGCUUGAGUGGAUAAAUAAAGUAUAAUUUGGAGAAUAGACUUGAUAGAAAAGAAAAUUACAUCAGUUUGGACAUUACAGAAUUUGAAAUGUUUACGGGUUAAGUGAUAAUUUUUACUUUCAAAAUCUUUUAACUGUCAUUUGAAAAGUUGAUGUUCAGAGGUAGUGGCCCAAGUUUAUUUUGAAACUAAUGCAGUCUAGGGCUGGUGGUAUAGCAAGCCUGAUGACCCAAGUUAUUUCUUCUGGACCCAUGGAAGAAGGAGCUAACCCCUUCUAAAAGCCACCCACUCAGUUGUGGCACAUGCACCUUAGUAUUCUCUCACUCACAUACACAAUAAAAAGAAAGAAUUAAUGAAUUGUUGGCUCAUAGUGUAGAAGAAUUUUGCACGUUGAAUGAAGGUAAUUUAUAACAUUAGCUGCUUCAAAGGAAAAAAUGCUUUAUUCUAAUUAUUUUCAUUUUUUUCUUGUCUAGUUCUUAUAUUUACAAUAAGGUUUGGAAGUUUAUUUGUCUGAAAGUGAAACAUCUGUUUGUAUUAUGAAUCCUAUUGCAGUGUUUUUGAAAUGAACUCACUGUGUAACGUAGCCUUCACUGUGUUGACACAGGUGUAGCAAGAUACAGAUGUCUUUGACAGGAGAGAAGUCUGGAGUAUUUCAUCUGUAACUACUGACUCAUGCUUAAAUACGGAUGGGAAUUACUUGGGUCCUUGAAAUUAAGUCUCUUAUUACAUCUAAGAUGUAUUUUACUUUGUUCUGAGGAAAGAGAUAAGAUAAAACUUGGCUUUCACACAAGAAAUGUAGUCUUGGGAAGGACAUACGUAUUGUUUAUAAUUGUAUUCCCCAAAGCAGCACUGAUUCAUUUGGGUAUUAGUCUCUAAUUGAGAGCUCUCAGUCAGUUCAAACUGUGCAGAUCCUUUGAGAGGUUGGCUGUUUACUCACAUCACCAGCCACGUGUCAUGUAUGUAUACCAUGAUCUUUAUGUAUACCAUGGGAUAGCUGAGAAUAGGGUUGAGGAAAACUUCUGGAGUCUUCUUUGUUAGGGGUGCAGAAGCUGGAGUCCUCCCUACUGCUUUUGGUAAACUUGGUGAUGGAAAACUUGUUGAGAUGCCAUCUGUUGGAAGAUAGAGAAUCUAGCAGUCAUUUAAAACAGCACUAGCAAUAUUUUAGGAGAACACCAAAGUAUAUUUCAUAGGGAAGGGGGGUUCCAGGUGUAUUUUUAAGAAAAUUAUUAUCCUAUAUGGUUAGGAGAAUCAUCCUGAUAUAGCUAUACUCUUGGUUUGGAAUAAGUGAGUUUAUUAAGUAUACAGCAAGCUAAAGUAAAAGAAUACAGAGCAAAAGAUGAAGUAGACAAAACAUCAAAUUGUGACUGGGGAGAUGGCUCAGUGGAUAAGAGCAUAUAUGCUUCUAACUGCCUCUUAACUCUAGCUCCAUGAAAUCCUUUGGGUCCCAAGGACACCUGAACUUACAUAUAUGCACACACACAAUUUAAAUAUUAAAAAAUAAACACUUAAAAAGAGCAUCACCAUAGGCUGGAGAGUUGCAUUGACUGAACUGUUAAGAGCACUGAUUACUCUUCCACAGGAUAUGGAUUUUAUUCCUAGCACCCCACAUGGUAGCUCACUACUGUCUCUAACUCUAGUCCCCAGAGAUCAGUGUUCUAUUUUGACCUCUAUAAGCACCAGGUAUUCAUGUUGUGCACAUACAUACAUGCAGACAAAAUAUUUAUACAGAUAAAUAAUUAAAUCUUAAAACCCAAACCAGGCACUUAAACAUCUAUCAGGUUCUUAAAACAUCUAGCAGAAAUCCAUUGGGGAAGUCCCUUUGAAAUUGCUGGCUGGAGUUCCUCAUAGAGUUUCGGGCAGAGCAGAACCUUCCAGGUACAGGAACAAAUCACAACAUGCACAGAACCCAGCAGAAACUGACUGGACAAGUUGAGGCCUAAUUAACGAUGCUUUGCUGUCUACCUGUAAUUUACUGAUUGUUCAUUUACUUUGACUUGCUAUAUAUUUAAUAAAAUCACUCAUUCAAAACCAAA